AUGGUGAAGGAGAAGACGGCGGCCCUGGAGCGGGCAAAAAAAGCGACGGCGAAGGCGAAGGGAAGGGCGACCAGUCGGGGCGGAUCUUUGUCGAGGGCCGGCCUGCCGCAGGGCUGGAUCCAGGGCGACUGGAUCCGCUCGACAAUUCGUCAAGAAGACCUUGACGACCUGACCAAUGGAGGACUGAUCCCCCAUGGAUCGGCGCGGCUCCCGGGGAAGGAGUCUGAGCCGCAGCCUGAGGAGGGUGAGGUCGUACUCUUGGCCACCCAUGUCGACCGUGGGUUUUCUUUGCCGCCUCAUCCUUUCUUUCGGGGAUUUCUGAAUUUCUUUGGGGCGCAACUCCACCACUUCACACCCAACACCAUCGUGUACCUCGCUGCUUUCGUGUCUUUGUGCGAGAAUUUCUUGGGUUGUCGGCCUCAUUGGGGUCUUUUCAAGCAUAUUUUCACCUGUCGCUCCCAGACGGUGAAAAAGGCCAAUCCGAGUGAUGAGAGAACACAAGUGAUUCAGAUGUGUGGGGGUCUUGGGGUUCAGAUGAGGGGUAAAAGUUCUUUUCCGGCCAUGAUCCUUCCCGACUCGGUCCGUGGAUGGCAGUCGAUCUGGUUUUACUGCAAAGACCAGCCGACGCCAGGGCGGUCGACCGGAAUCCCUCCUUUUUCUGUGGACCGAGUGAGGAAGCCUUCCUCUUUGAAGGUGAUCCCGGAAGAGAAGGCGCAGGUUAAGGUGUUGGUCGAACGUGUUGUCCAGCUUAUCCGUGACGGGGGGACCGGCAUGGAUCUCUUGGAGGUCUUCCUCCGACGACGCAUCCAGCCGCUUCAAUAUCGAGAUCAUCCGAUGUGGAUGUAUUCUGGCACUGAAGACACCACUCGGAUCCACCCGGAGGAGGUCGAGGAUGCCACGCUGGAGAGGUGGCUGGCUGCCAUCACAGGGAACAAGGACAACCCCCGAGGGGCCAGGAGGAUUCCUCCACUCGACCAAUCAUACGAAGUAGACAAGGCCACUACUGAGAUGUACUCGAUGCCCAACAGGGCGCAAGAACAGGUCGAGGAGGAGGAGGCGAGCGGAGGUGAAAGUCAGGAGGAGUGGCAAUCUGAUGGUGAGGGGGAUGAAGAUGACGAUGGCUCCAGUGAAGAGGAGGAGGAGGAAGUCGAUCCUCCUCGGACGGAAAGGCGAUCCAAGCUCACCCACGACCCCGCAGUCGAGCGUGGCAAAGCGACUGUGCCUGUUGGGCAGUCGUCGAAGCGCCCUCGGACGACCUCUCCAGCGUCGACUGAAAAAGCGCCAAAGCAUCCCUGA
rnacentral:rRNA from 1 species